AGGACGAACGCUGGCGGCGUGCCUAAUGCAUGCAAGUCGAGCGACGAAUAGGUGCGGGUAACCAAGCCUAUUACGGAGCGGCGAACGGGUGAGUAACACGUGAGCAACCUGCCCCGCAGAUCGGGAUAGCCCAGGGAAACUUGGAUUAAUACCGGAUAUUCUCCUUUAACCACAUGAUUGUUGGAGGAAAUGCUUUUGCGCUACGGGAUGGGCUCACGGCCUAUCAGCUUGUUGGUGGGGUAACGGCCUACCAAGGCUACGACGGGUAGCUGGUCUGAGAGGACGAUCAGCCACACUGGGACUGAGACACGGCCCAGACUCCUACGGGAGGCAGCAGCAGGGAAUCUUGCGCAAUGGGCGAAAGCCUGACGCAGCAACGCCGCGUGGGGGAUGAAGGCCUUCGGGUUGUAACCCCUUUAGGAGGACGAAUGACGUACUCCAGAAUAAGCCCGGCAACUACGUGCCAGCAGCCGC
rnacentral:rRNA from 1 species